UGGGGAAUAUUGCACAAUGGGCGAAAGCCUGAUGCAGCAACGCCGCGUGAGUGAUGAAGGCCUUCGGGUUGUAAAGCUCUGUCUUUUGGGACGAUAAUGACGGUACCAAAGGAGGAAGCCACGGCUAACUACGUGCCAGCAGCCGCGGUAAUACGUAGGUGGCAAGCGUUGUCCGGAUUUACUGGGCGUAAAGGAUGCGUAGGCGGAUUUUUAAGUGAGAUGUGAAAACCCUAAGCUUAACUUGGGGACUGCAUUUCAUACUGGAAAUCUAGAGUGCGGGAGAGGAGAAUGGAAUUCCUAGUGUAGCGGUGAAAUGCGUAGAGAUUAGGAAGAACACCAGUGGCGAAGGCGAUUCUCUGGACCGUAACUGACGCUGAGGCAUGAAAGCGUGGGUAGCAAAACAGGAUUAGAUACCCUGGUAGUCCACGCCGUAAACGAUGAGUACUAGGUGUAGGAGGUAUCGACCCCUUCUGUGCCGCAGUUAACACAAUAAGUACUCCGCCUGGGAAGUACGAUCGCAAGAUUAAAACUCAAAGGAA
rnacentral:rRNA from 1 species